UACGAAGGGGGCUAGCGUUGCUCGGAAUCACUGGGCGUAAAGCGCACGUAGGCGGAUUGCUAAGUCAGGGGUGAAAUCCUGGAGCUCAACUCCAGAACUGCCUUUGAUACUGGCGACCUUGAGUCCGGGAGAGGUGAGUGGAACUGCGAGUGUAGAGGUGAAAUUCGUAGAUAUCGUAAGGAAGACCAGUGGCGAAGGCGGGUCUCUGGACAGUUCCUGACGCUGAGGCACGAAGGUCAGGGGAGCAAACGGG
rnacentral:rRNA from 1 species